UACGGGGGGGGCAAGCGUUGUUCGGAAUUACUGGGCGUAAAGGGCUCGUAGGUGGCCAACUAAGUCAGACGUGAAAUCCCUCGGCUUAACCGGGGAACUGCGUCUGAUACUGGAUGGCUUGAGUGUGGGAGAGGAAUGCGGAAUUCCAGGUGUAGCGGUGAAAUGCGUAGAUAUCUGGAGGAACACCGGUGGCGAAGGCGGCAUUCUGGACCAUAACUGACACUGAGAGACGAAAGCCAGGGGAGCAAACGGG
rnacentral:rRNA from 1 species